rnacentral:lncRNA from 1 species
GGCAAGAAGAACACUCUUCCAUGCUGGUGGGAGUGCAAGCUUGUAAAGCCACUAUGGAAAUCAAUAUGUUUUUUUCUCAGAAAGUUGGGAAUCAAUCUGUUUCAAGAUUAGUUAUACCACCCUUGGGCAUAUACCCAAAGGAUGCUCCAUCUCGCUGCAAGGACACUUGCUCAACAAUGUUCAUUGUGGUUUACUUCAAAAGAGCCAGGAACUGGAAUAACCUAGAUGUUCCUCAACAGAAGAACAGACAACAAAAAUAGUGAUACAUUUACCCAACUGAGUAUAACCCAGUGGUAAAACAAAACAAAACCCAAAACCAAAAAAUGGCCUUUUUGGAUGGAGAAGCAGGAGUGAAGCAUAUCAGUGGUAAAACAAAACAAACCCAAAACCAAAAAAUGGCCUUUUUGGAUGGAGAAGCAGGAGUGAAGCAUAUAAGAUGUAGGCCAUGGGGGCUGUUCAGAGAUUGUGUUAUCUGUUCACUCUAAAACAAACCCAACAACAACAACAAAUGGAAUCAUGACAUUUGCAGGUAAAUGGAUGGAAUUAGGAAAAAAAUUCUGAAGUGAGAACCCUUGAUCUUCAAAAGGCAAUAUGGUAUCCUGCUAUACUCAUUGAUUAAUAACCUUAUCCAGUCAUCAUCAGAGAGGCUUCCUCCAACAGCAGAUGGGAACAGAUGCAGAGACCCACAGCCAGAU